UAAUACGGAGGGUGCGAGCGUUGUUCGGAAUUAUUGGGCGUAAAGCGCACGUAGGCGGCCGGGUAAGUCUCACUGUGAAAGCCCGGGGCUCAACCCCGGGAGGCCAGGGGAUACUGCUCGGCUGGAGACAGGUAGAGGCUGGUAGAAUUCCGGGUGUAGCGGUGGAAUGCGUAGAGAUCCGGAGGAAUACCUGAGGCGAAGGCGGCCAGCUGGGCCUGAUCUGACGCUGAGGUGCGAAAGCGUGGGGAGCGAACAGGAUUAGAUACCCUGGUAGUCCACGCCGUAAACGAUGGGCACUAGAUGCCGGUGGGAACGACCCCUUCGGUGUCGCAGCUAACGCAAUAAGUGCCCCGCCUGGGGAGUACGGCCGCAAGGCUG
rnacentral:rRNA from 1 species